CAGUAGCCGCGGGAAUACGAAGGUCCCGAGCGUUGUUCUGAAUCACUGGGCGUAAAGGGAGCGUAGGCGGCGUGGUAAGUCAGAUGUGAAAUCCCGGGGCUCAACCCCGGAACUGCAUCCGAUACUGCCAUGCUAGAGGAUUGGAGAGGUAGCUGGAAUUCUUGGUGUAGCAGUGAAAUGCGUGGAGAUCAAGAGGAACACUCGUGGCGAAAGCGAGCUACUGGACAAUAACUGACGCUGAGGCUCGAAGGCCAGGGUAGCGAAAGGGAUUAGAUACCCCCGUAGUCCCUGUCUCUUAUAA
rnacentral:rRNA from 1 species